CGCUGCUGGAGCUCGUGGGGCCCGAGAAGCCCCGGCGGAUCCUGGAGCUGGCGCUGAGCGUGAUCGGGAAUUGCUGCACCGAGCGCGGCUGCCGGCGCCAGGCCCGGAGCCUCGGAGGGGUCCCGCGCUUGGUGUCCGUGCUGGCACUGACCUCUGCCCCCGAGAGCGUCCGGAAUCGCGCCGCCCGAGCUUUGGCCAACCUGGCCCUGGAGCCCGAAGGAGCCCGAGACGUGCUGGAGGCUGGCGCCGCCCCCCUGCUGAUCUCGCUGACCUCCACCUGCAGCACCCCCGGCUGCCUCCUGAGCCCCCCAGAGCCCCCCAGAACCGCCCCAAAA